UUAAGAUAUUCUGGGCUCAAGAUACACUCAUCCAAUAUCCUAUAACAUCUUUAGCACAAUCCUCCCUAUUCAAUGAGAGUCUCAUUGUAGGAGGAGAACUGACACUUUUCAGAAAUACUUCCAACAAGAUUUAAAGAGCAAACAGAAGGGUUAUUGGCUUAGUGUAAGGGAUUAUGGCAGCAGAGUUGAGGACCUUACACUCACCAUGUCCCAGGAACACAGCUAGGUAACUAUUAAAUCAUCCUAAAUACCCAGGAAAUUGGCCUGAAGACCGGCAGAACAAAUUCCACAACUAAAGGUAGAGAAGAGGCCACAUCAAAGAAGGAAUGCCAGGGAGCCUUCCCAAGAGCCAUCCUGAGGAUGUGGCCCCUCAUUUUAAGGUUGCUACCUGCUGAUCUCCAAGUCAUAAAUGCAGGACUGUAACACUGAUUGUGGAGAACCAUGCAGUGCUCCAGAAAGAAUGGUAGAGUGGAAUACUCGCCAGUUACUAAAGACAACAUUGCACACAUAUGCACAGUCCUGCCUACAAUUCUUCCUUUUUUUCCUUCCCUCUUUCAUGGUCAUGAACAAAGAGGCAAUUAAGAAAACUCUCAAGAUGGAAAAUGCCAAAA